AAAUACUAAUAACAUACACAAAAGAAGAUGGCACCCAAGAAGGUUCAAAGUAAAACUGAAACUAAGAAGAACAAAGGUGUUAAGAACGGCAGGGUGGAAAAAAGAUCAAAGGUUUCACCUUGCAAUGAAGAAUGGGUUGUUCCGAAAGACCAUCCAUUAAGGAAAAGGAUGGAGGCCCUCAACGACCUAAUGAAGGCCCACAACGUUGAGAAUGCCUUUUACGACAAUCUGAUGAAAGAACUGAUGGAGCUUUACGGCCCAUACUUAGAGCAGGACGCUCGCGACUACGUUAACACUAAGAAGCGUCCAAAGAACUGCCGCACAUGUCGAAGCCGUCGAGGUCGUCGUCAGGUUAAUCGCAAGAAGUAGAUGCCAUGUUAAAUAUUUUGAAGAAAAAAAUCAAGUGAAGGACAGCAUGUUUUGAAAUAGUAGGGCGUUUUAGGACAAACAGGAGAGAUUUAAUCAAGAAAACCAGAGAGAAACCAACUUGUUACAGCCUAACUAAAUUUUCAGUGAAGCUGCUCAAAAUUCAAGGUUUUGCAAAAUAAUUUUUGGGGGUACAAAAUUUGGCAACUAUCAACUAGCAACUCCUAAGCUGUGGACGAGGAGCUUGAACUUUAAUUCUUCUGUUUAUUUAUUGAGAUUUUAAGGUUUAAGUGAGGCAUUUAUUUAAACAAUUAUUAUACAAGUACGUUUCCCUGCCGCUCUUCUUAAAGGCACAACAAGCAUUAAACAGAAAGAUGUUUAAGGGGCAGUCGAGGAACGAAAUGUGCCCCAUUUGAAGCAUCUACUAAACUAAUUUUGGACUACUUGGAUUUAAAAUUAAAAGUGUUAGUCAAAAACAAAGCAUGAAAAUAUGUUUUCUCGUUUCGCUGAACAGCCAAUAAAUAAACUACAAUGACAUAUCUUGCUAUA